GACGAACGCUGGCGGCGUGCUUAACACAUGCAAGUCGAACGAAGUGGCGAACGGGUGAGUAAUACGUGGGUAACCUGCCCUCCUUUUUGGGAUAAGCCUUGGAAACGGGGUCUAAUACCGAAUAAAGGGGGAUGGGCUGGCGGCCUAUCAGCUUGUUGGUGGGGUGAUGGCCGACCAAGGCGGUGACGGGUAGCCGGCCUGAGGGGGUGCAUGGGGACGUUGCGACUGAGAGACGGCCAAGCAUGCUACGAGAGGCGGCAGUGGGGGAUAUGGCGAAAUGGUCGAGAGGCUGAUGCAGGGAGGCGACGUGGGGGAUGGAGUCUUACAGGUUUUAAACCUCGUUCGAUAUGGAAUGGGUAGGUGGAGAAGAAGCGCCGGCUAACUACGUGCCAGCAGCCGCGGUAAUAC
rnacentral:rRNA from 1 species